rnacentral:rRNA from 1 species
AUGGACCUGAUAUCAGUAAGAUACCCACUUAUU